GAAACCAACAGGGAUUGCCUCAGUAGCGGCGAGUGAAGCGGCAAAAGCUCAAAUUUGAAAUCUGGCGUCUUUGGCGUCCGAGUUGUAAUUUGAAGAAGGUAUCUUUGGGCCCGGCUCUGUCUAUGUUCCUUGGAACAGGACGUCACAGAGGGUGAGAAUCCCGUGCGAUGAGAUGACCCGGGUCUGUGUAAAGUUCCUUCGACGAGUCGAGUUGUUUGGGAAUGCAGCUCUAAGUGGGUGGUAAAUUCCAUCUAAAGCUAAAUAUUGGCGAGAGACCGAUAGCGAACAAGUACAGUGAUGGAAAGAUGAAAAGAACUUUGAAAAGAGAGUGAAAAAGUACGUGAAAUUGUUGAAAGGGAAGGGCUUGAGAUCAGACUUGGUAUUUUGCAUGUUGCUCUCUCGGGGGCGGCCGCUGCGGUUUACCGGGCCAGCAUCGGUUUGGAGCGGCAGGAUAAUGGCGGAGGAAUGUGGCACGGCUUCUGCUGUGUGUUAUAGCCU
rnacentral:rRNA from 1 species